UACGAAGGGGGCUAGCGUUGCUCGGAAUCACUGGGCGUAAAGGGUGCGUAGGCGGGUUUUUAAGUCAGAGGUGAAAUCCUGGAGCUCAACUCCAGAACUGCCUUUGAUACUGAGGAUCUUGAGUUCGGGAGAGGUGAGUGGAACUGCGAGUGUAGAGGUGAAAUUCGUAGAUAUUCGCAAGAACACCAGUGGCGAAGGCGCUCACUGGCCCGAUACUGACGCUGAGGCACGAAAGCGUGGGGGAAGCAACAGGGAUUAAGAAACCCC
rnacentral:rRNA from 1 species